GAAAAUGAUGAUAUGUGUUGUCGCCCCAGUCUUAUUUGCAUCAGCAAAUGAUGAUGCAAUGUGGUGAUUGACAUUCUUAUCUGAUUC